GCCCUGCUAGCUCAAUCGGUAGAGCGUGAGACUUUUAAUCUCAAGGUUGCGGGUUCGACCCCCGCGUGGGGCU
rnacentral:tRNA from 1 species